rnacentral:rRNA from 1 species
CCUACGGGGGGCAGCAGUGGGGAAUAUUGGGCAAUGGGCGCAAGCCUGACCCAGCAACGCCGCGUGAAGGAAGAAGGCUUUCGGGUUGUAAACUUCUUUUGUCAGGGAAGAGUAGAAGACGGUACCUGACGAAUAAGCCACGGCUAACUACGUGCCAGCAGCCGCGGUAAUACGUAGGUGGCAAGCGUUGUCCGGAUUUACUGGGUGUAAAGGGCGUGUAGCCGGGUUGACAAUUCAGAUGUGAAAUCCUGCGGCUUAACCGCAGAACUGCAUUUGAAACUGUUGAUCUUGAGUACUGGAGAGGCAGACGGAAUGCCUGGUGUAGCGGUGAAAUGCGUAGAUAUUAGGAGGAACACCAGUGGCGAAGGCGGUCUGCUGGAGAGCAACUGACGGUGAGGCGCGAAAGCGUGGGGAGCAAACAGGAUUAGAUACCCCAGUAGUC